ensembl:lncRNA
CGAAUCUUUAUCUGUGGAGCACAAGACUAGAUGAGAACACAACCUAUAAAUAUACAUAUCAAUGUCCUGCUCAACUGACAAUAUACAGGAGUGUUACUGUGUUUAACACUCAAUGCAAAAAAAAUUAUAAAGCUUAUCUGAUCACUGAGUAGAGCUCAUAAUAUUAGCUCUAAUGUUAGCUAUGUUAGCUAAAAACAAGCUAACAAAAACGAUAGGAAAUGAAUGGGAAUGCCUUUAGUGCCUAUACCUGUGAGCCAAAGUUUAGAGAUAUCUGGGACAGCCGUGUCGGCUGGGUGGAGAUGACCUGGUGGAGGCGGGGGGGUGGUGGUGACGGUGUAAUGAGAGUGAUGAAGCAUGGACAUGACGGAGGAGGAGAGGGAUGAGGUCAAGAGGUCCAUCUUGCCCUCCUCCUGCUCCUCCUCCUCCUGCUCCUCCUCUUCCUCUUCCUCCUCCUCCUCCUCAGCCUGGGGCCCCUCAAACAGCUCCAGGGAGCCCCCCCAGCUGCCCUCCUCCCCGGGCCCUCCUGUGGGGCCGGCCAGGCCAUCCAGGGCUGGGAUGAAUGGAUGAAUGAUGAAUGGAUGAAGCAUAAAGACAGUGUAGAUGUCUGGGUGAGUGUUGUUGAGAAUGCAGGCGGGUAGGGGUUAAUGACCAUGGUUACACGGGGAACUGGUUUGAGGUUUGAACUGAUUGAACGGCCACAGGUGGAAGUUAGAGGCACAAAGGCUGAAGUGAAGUCAGAAGGGAAUGAGGAACACGAAGGCUGUAAACACUAGUGUGUACUUUUUAAAACAGGAUGAGUCCAUUGUGUUUCAGAGUAAGUUGUGACAGUGGCGCUAAUGCAAGGGUGUUUGCAAAUUAUGAACACCACUCAGCUACACACUUUGAACUCUGAUCCCCCGACCUCACACGGUGAGAGCCACGGGCGACCGGAAGGCUCCAGACAGUCAGAGAGUUAGCAACAGAUUAGCUUCAGGCGGUCAGAGAGUUAGCUCCAUGCGGUCAGAUAGUUAGCGACAGAUUAGCUCCAGGCGGUCAGAGAGUUAGCUCCAUGCGGUCAGAUAGUUAGCAACAUAUUAGCUCUAGGCGGUCAGAGAGCUAGCAUCAGGUGGUCAGAGAGUUAGCAUCAGGCGGUCAGUUAGCUUCAGGCGGUCAGAUAGCUAGCGACAGAUUAGCUACAGGCGGUCAGAGAGUUAGCAUCAGGCGGUCAGAGAGUUAGCUUCAGGCGGUCAGAGAGUUAGCUUCAGGUGGUCAGAGAGUUAGCUUCAGGUGGUCAGAGAGUUAGCUUCAGGCAGUCAGAGAGUUAGCUUCAGGCAGUCAGAGAGAUAGCUUCAGGUGGUCAGAGAGUUAGCUUCAGGUAGUCAGAGAGUUAGCUUCAGGCGGUCAGAGAGUUAGCUUCAGGCGGUCAGAGAGUUAGCUUCAGGCGGUCAGAGAGUUAGCUUCAGGCGGUCAGAGAGUUAGCUUCAGGCAGUCAGAGAGUUAGC